rnacentral:rRNA from 1 species
GGAUUAGAUACCCUGGUAGUCCACGCCGUAAACGAUGUCGACUAGCCGUUGGGGUCCUUGAGGCCUUAGUGGCGCAGCUAACGCGGUAAGUCGACCGCCUGGGGAGUACGGCCGCAAGGUUAAAACUCAAAUGAAUUGACGGGGGCCCGCACAAGCGGUGGAGCAUGUGGUUUAAUUCGAAGCAACGCGAAGAACCUUACCAGGUCUUGACAUCCUGAGAAUUGACUAGAAAUAGUUGAGUGCCUUCGGGAACUCAGUGACAGGUGCUGCAUGGCUGUCGUCAGCUCGUGCCG